AGGGCGGGACACGUGGUAUCCUGUCUGAAUAUGGGGGGACCAUCCUCCAAGGCUAAAUACUCCUGACUGACCGAUAGUGAACCAGUACCGUGAGGGAAAGGCGAAAAGAACCCCGGCGAGGGGAGUGAAAAAGAACCUGAAACCGUGUACGUACAAGCAGUGGGAGCCCCACCACCAAAGCAUUUGCUGUACCGCGUUGACGGAGCGAAGCGACGUCAAACCGAUAAAACAGCAGUGUAAAGUGAGCCGCAGGGCGCUUUGCGCGACAGCGCAAAGGCAGGCGGUUUCGCGUAGCGAAAGCGAAUGCUUUGGGGUGGGGUGACUGCGUACCUUUUGUAUAAUGGGUCAGCGACUUAUAUUCUGUAGCAAGGUUAACCGAAUAGGGGAGCCGGAGGGAAACCGAGUCUUAAUUGGGCGUUAAGUUGCAGGGUAUAGACCCGAAACCCGGUGAUCUAGCCAUGGGCAGGUUGAAGGUUGGGUAACACUAACUGGAGGACCGAACCGACUAAUGUUGAAAAAUUAGCGGAUGACCUGUGGCUGGGGGUGAAAGGCCAAUCAAACCGGGAGAUAGCUGGUUCUCCCCGAAAGCUAUUUAGGUAGCGCCUCGUGAAUUCAUCUCCGGGGGUAGAGCACUGUUUCGGCUAGGGGGCCAUCCCGGCUUACCAACCCGAUGCAAACUGCGAAUACCGGAGAAUGUUAUCACGGGAGACACACGGCGGGUGCUAACGUCCGUCGUGAAGAGGGAAACAACCCAGACCGCCAGCUAAGGUCCCAAAGUCAUGGUUAAGUGGGAAACGAUGUGGGAAGGCCCAGACAGCCAGGAUGUUGGCUUAGAAGCAGCCAUCAUUUAAAGAAAGCGUAAUAGCUCACUGGUCGAGUCGGCCUGCGCGGAAGAUGUAACGGGGCUAAACCAUGCACCGAAGCUGCGGCAGCGACACUGUGUGUUGUUGGGUAGGGGAGCGUUCUGUAAGCCUGUGAAGGUGUGUCGUGAGGCAUGCUGGAGGUAUCAGAAGUGCGAAUGCUGACAUAAGUAACGAUAAAGCGGGUGAAAAGCCCGCUCGCCGGAAGACCAAGGGUUCCUGUCCAACGUUAAUCGGGGCAGGGUGAGUCGACCCCUAAGGCGAGGCCGAAAGGCGUAGUCGAUGGGAAACGGGUUAAUAUUCCCGUACUUGGUGUUACUGCGAAGGGGGGACGGAGAAGGCUAUGUUGGCCGGGCGACGGUUGUCCCGGUUUAAGCGUGUAGGUGUGUGUUCCAGGUAAAUCCGGUUCACUUUAACACUGAGGCGUGACGACGAGGCACUACGGUGCUGAAGCAACAAAUGCCCUGCUUCCAGGAAAAGCCUCUAAGCAUCAGGUAACAUCAAAUCGUACCCCAAACCGACACAGGUGGUCAGGUAGAGAAUACCAAGGCGCUUGAGAGAACUCGGGUGAAGGAACUAGGCAAAAUGGUGCCGUAACUUCGGGAGAAGGCACGCUGACACGUAGGUGAAGUGAUUUACUCAUGGAGCUGAAGUCAGUCGAAGAUACCAGCUGGCUGCAACUGUUUAUUAAAAACACAGCACUGUGCAAACACGAAAGUGGACGUAUACGGUGUGACGCCUGCCCGGUGCCGGAAGGUUAAUUGAUGGGGUCAGCGCAAGCGAAGCUCCUGAUCGAAGCCCCGGUAAACGGCGGCCGUAACUAUAACGGUCCUAAGGUAGCGAAAUUCCUUGUCGGGUAAGUUCCGACCUGCACGAAUGGCGUAAUGAUGGCCAGGCUGUCUCCACCCGAGACUCAGUGAAAUUGAACUCGCUGUGAAGAUGCAGUGUACCCGCGGCAAGACGGAAAGACCCCGUGAACCUUUACUAUAGCUUGACACUGAACAUUGAGCCUUGAUGUGUAGGAUAGGUGGGAGGCUUUGAAGUGUGGACGCCAGUCUGCAUGGAGCCGACCUUGAAAUACCACCCUUUAAUGUUUGAUGUUCUAACGUGGACCCGUUACCCGGGUUGCGGACAGUGUCUGGUGGGUAGUUUGACUGGGGCGGUCUCCUCCUAAAGAGUAACGGAGGAGCACGAAGGUUGGCUAAUCCUGGUCGGACAUCAGGAGGUUAGUGCAAUGGCAUAAGCCAGCUUGACUGCGAGCGUGACGGCGCGAGCAGGUGCGAAAGCAGGUCAUAGUGAUCCGGUGGUUCUGAAUGGAAGGGCCAUCGCUCAACGGAUAAAAGGUACUCCGGGGAUAACAGGCUGAUACCGCCCAAGAGUUCAUAUCGACGGCGGUGUUUGGCACCUCGAUGUCGGCUCAUCACAUCCUGGGGCUGAAGUAGGUCCCAAGGGUAUGGCUGUUCGCCAUUUAAAGUGGUACGCGAGCUGGGUUUAGAACGUCGUGAGACAGUUCGGUCCCUAUCUGCCGUGGGCGCUGGAGAACUGAGGGGGGCUGCUCCUAGUACGAGAGGACCGGAGUGGACGCAUCACUGGUGUUCGGGUUGUCAUGCCAAUGGCACUGCCCGGUAGCUAAAUGCGGAAGAGAUAAGUGCUGAAAGCAUCUAAGCACGAAACUUGCCCCGA
rnacentral:rRNA from 1 species